GUGUUGAUGCAUUCACUCUCGAGCUUUCAAGAUGCAUUUUGGAAAAUUUUUCUUUCUUUUAUUUUUGGUACUUGCACUUUGCUUUAACGUUGAAGCCAGAAGAAGAAAAAUUAACUAUCGUAAAAUUGGCAGAGGUGUGGGAAAAUUUUUAAAGUAUGGCGCAGGUGCAGCAAGUGCUUAUAAUUUCCUCCACGGUGGAAAUGAUUAUUAAUUUUGAAUACAAGUUAUUAAAUAUAUUAUAAUCAUAUGUAUCAUAUACAUAAAUACGUAAUCAAUAAAUGUUUUUUAUAUUA